GUACUUGGUUCAGCUGCAUGUAUACUAAAGUUGGAAUGAUACACAGAUUAGUGAAGCCCUUGCACAAGGAUGAUGCAAAAAUUCAUGACGCAUUCCAUACCUUU